AUAGUCCUUUUUUAUAUGGUUUUAACGAGUUUGAGUUAAGAGUAGUAAAUAACUUGCUCCCAGGAAAAGAACCGUGUGAGGAGGCCCCGGGGCGUUACAGCCUUUACUUUGAAGGGGACAAAUCCUUCCCACUUUAACAAAUUGGUGUUUCCGCCCGUGACCUGGAAGCAGGACAACAGAGCCACCGACGGAAAAAGCUCCACAGCCUGCGGCCGAAACAACUGAUAAGUUGUUGACGGACGCGCUUCCUUAGCAGAAGAGCGGCUCACUGAAGGUUGUAGGGAAAAGGUUUAAAGCCCAGAGGGAUCUCACGUAAGACGUCGAGGUCUGAUUUUAUACACUGUGUGAACGGAAGGUGUGAAAGAUGGAUGCAUGUGGACUAGAAAUUGAAUCCAGAAACACCUUGUUAAAAGUGAGUCUGGAUAAAGGGAGAAAUAUGAUCAUGGCGAGUUAUCCAUUGAAGGAUGCAGAACACCACAUUAGAAAAUUUGAUGAAUGGGUUGAAAAAAUGAGAGAAGAUGGAGUGUUUGGGGAAUUAGAGGGGCCCCCUCCAAACACUUCUCAACGUGGUUUUUAUUUGGAUACACUAAAAAAUAGAUUGUCACAAGCUCGUGAA